AUUGAACGCUGGCGGCAUGCUUUACACAUGCAAGUCGAACGGUAACAGGCCACAAGCUGCUGCUUAGUGGCGACCGGUUACGUACUGCAUCGGAAUGUACCCAGACCUGGUUGUUCGCUACGCGUAAGGUAAGCUAAUUUCCCAUACGAUCUCUGGCUGAAUGCGGGUGACCGCAAGGCAUCUUCGGAUUUUGCGCGCUGAUGUGAGAUUAGCUAGUUGGUGGGGUAAAGGCGCACCAAGCCAACGAUCUGUAGCUGGUCUGAGAGGACGAUCAGCCACACUGGGACUGAGACACGGUCCAGACUCCUACGGGAGGCAGCAGUGGGGAAUAUUGGACAAUGGGCGCAAGCCUGAUCCAGCCAUACCGCGUGGAGGAAGAAGGCCUUCGGGUUGUAAACUGCUUUUGUACGGAAAGAAAAGCAUCUGGUUAAUACCCGGGGGUAAUGACGGUACCGAAAGAAUAAGCACCGGCUAACUACGUG
rnacentral:rRNA from 1 species